AUAGAAUCCUAGAUUGAGAAGCAAGCAAUGUGGGAAACUAAAUCCUUGGGUUACAACAGUCUUUCAUCGAUGCUCAAGUCAAAAGAGUUGUUGGCUUUGUAUUUGACAAGUUGUAGUGUAUUCUGCUAUACACACACGUAUGUGAGUGUGUGUCUAUAUAUAUAUAUAUAUAUAUAUAUAUGCGCAUUCACAUGGAGAUAUAACGGUUAGUGAUGACAGAAGAAGGUUAAUUAUGCCUUACACACUAUCAGACUAUUUGUCUAGCUAUGUCAUACAUGUGUGUACAGUAUAAGUUUUCUCUUUCUUUUUACAUUAUUUUGGAGUGUGGUUUCUACUCACAUAGUUAGAAACAAUUUUGGGUUUCUUUUUCUUAUAUUAUUGUCUAGCUAGAAGAUAUGAAAAAUAAUGGAAACUUUGAAACUGAUGCUACCCAUCACACGGGCUUGGACAGGAACUUUAAGAACUGUUGCAUAUGUCGGAGUCCAAAGGCCUCUUAGAAAUACCAAUGAUAUACAGUCUGGCCCACGUUGAUCUCUAAAGGAAGAAUUGAAAGUGUACUGCAAGUACGUACUAUCUCUUCAAGCUGUACUACAAUAUAGCAUAAUCAUGUACUGAAUAAGCUCGUUUUAUCUAUAAAACACUGAGAUUAAAAACAACCAGAAGAUCCUGCUAACAGUUUUCUUUGCUUUGAGUGCACUUAAUAUCGCAUUCUUGGAUGACUUGAUGCAAGCAAAUGAUGAGCACCGCCAGGAGGUGCAUAUACACAUGUCAUGGAGUGUGUUUACCCGUGAGUUUUGGUGAGUUAGUUGGGUACGAAAUCUUCACUUCUAGCUAGGUUUUGAAAUUCGCACCCCAUGCACGUUAUCAAGGGAUCGGAAUAAGAACACCUCUCAAUUCUCAAAUUUACUACUACUUUCGCAGCCGUAAGUGGGACAUCGUUCAAUGCAACUCAUGUACGUCUAAGCAGCUCAUGAUUUCUUUUUAACAAAAAUGUGGAACCCGUUAUCUACUUUUUGAACUUGGUAUAUAAAUGAAGAGAAGCGAAGUCGUUUGACGACUCAUUGUGCUGUUCUCCCUAUGACCAAGUGCUAUCUCUUUACUUCUGAAUAGGUAAAAACCAUAAUUCUAUUUUAUUUCUUAAUUGAUAAGACUGGCAAAUUGGCUCGCUCGAUGCUAGCUGCGGGUUUUUUUUUUUUUUUUUUCAAAUUUUAUAUGUAAUAGAUGAAUACUCGUAAUCUAAAAAAUAUCGGCUCUACUUAGAAUAUAAUUUGUUUUGUUGUUAAUAAUAGAUUAACAACAAAUGGGAUACAACACAAAAUAAAUUUUUUACAUGAUUUGUAGAAAUUUACAAAUACAAAACAUAAUUGUUCUCAUUUAAAAAAAAAAAAAAAAUAUAGCAGAAUUGUAAUUUGAAUUAGAAGCCGAGGGCAUAAUCGUCAUUUAAUAAUCCCGAGUGAACAGUUGUGAAUAGUGAUAGUGAUCCGAGGGCAUCAACAACAACGUGCAAUUUGUUAGGUGAGUCACGUGGUAGAUGAAGAUGGAUCGAUGGUGAGUCAUAGCAAUUAGCAAACAAAACGUCAAUGAUCAUUAACACGUGGUAGAGAUAAGCAUUCAAUGACUCUGAAAAGAUUCCAAGUCAAUUCUGAAUUCCAAAACCCCUAUACAUAUGCGCAUGUUUUUUUUAAGGUAUACAUGCGCAUACAGACAUAGACGGCACGGAAAUGAUAUCAGCGUAGUAAAGAUAUAGAAGUAAAAUAACGAGAAGGAAUAUAUAGUCCUGAACUUUAAUUACAUAGUAUUUACCUGUCCAAGAGAAAUAAUGGCCCAAUUGAAUGUAAUGCCAGCCACCCCUUUGAAUGAAUGGCUUUGAGUUCUCCAGGACCCUCUCUCGUGAGCAAUUUGCUCAACUCCUGAUGUUGAUUUGGGCCAUUUGGAAGAACCGCAAUUCCAAACUAUGGGAGAGUGCUUGUCAACAUCUUUCUGAAGUAGUGUUGUUAACCAUGCGUUGGUUUAAGGAAUUUACAAAAGCUAAUAAUAGUGCUUUGACUCAAAAGAGGGGGGUUGAAAGAUGGUCUGAUUGGUCUCCACUUGAGCUUAGCUGGGUUAAAUACAACGGUGAUGCGGCUUUUAUUCUCCGGAUACUAGAAGAGGAGCUUGUGGUGUUGUGGCUCGCACUUGUGCUGGUUCCUUUAUAGUCGGAGCUGCUGGGCCUUUGAUUCAAGUUAUGUCCCCUUUCCAUGCUGAGAUUCAACCCUUGGCUGAAGCUGUAAAGUUAGCUACUUUACAACAUCUUCUCGAAACUGACUGUUUGCUACUUGUUCAAGUUUUAAGGCAAUCCCAAUGUGAUCUUUCCUCUAUGGGUGUUCUGGUAGAGGUAGACCUCUAAAUGGACCGGGUUUUGAUCAGGAUUCUCUUCGGAUCCGUGGUUAUUGUUGUUAAGUGAUGUAUCCUGAAGUCCUGGAGUCCUCGUUUGCUUGUGGACAUGUGUCAGUGCACCAGUUAGCUAGUUAGCUGUAUUGAUUAGCCAGUUAGCUAGUUAGCUGUAUUGAUUAGUUUGAUUAGUUGCUAAUUAGUUAGCCAUGGUUAAUUAGCAUGAUUAGUUAGCUAGUCGGUUAGGCCAAUCAUGUUGUAUAAAUAGCUGAGCUCUCUCUUCAUUUUGUACGUUUUGUUCAUUUGAGAAAAGUAACAGAAACAGUUAGCAACAUUUUCUCUCAAGUAUCCUCUUCUCUUUCAUCUUCUUCCUCUCUACGAAACCCUAGCUCUGCUUGUCUGCCAUGGCUAUCAUGCAAUUGGAGCUCUGAUCGUCUUCAAGGCUUGGAUCCAGUUCAGUAGCUUGUGAAUCACUAAUUUUUUAGCAUCUCAAGUGUUCGAUUGAAUUUCCAGGUGAACCGUACUCGUUCUUGCCUCUCAAAAUGUCAGAUCUGUGUACGUUGUGCUAUAUUUGUGAGUCACACAGUAUGAACUUGCUGGUUUACUGAAGCAAACAUCAUUUCUUGAGCAAAAUUAUAUUGAUUGAGUUGUGCGUUGUGAUUAGAGUGAAAUAACGUGAAGAUUUGAGUAAACAAUAGCUUGAGAAAAAAAAAAAUUGAGUAAAAUUAGCUUGUGAUUUGUGAUCUUUAUGAGUAUAAACAAAUUUUGAGCAUCAUUGUGAUGAAAAUUGAGAGAAAAUCGAGCUUCAUACAAGCAUAAAGUACUUGUCUGAAGAAAUCUUUAUACUGUGUGGUGAAGAACAUUGUGCUAACUGUUGUCCAUAUUUUGCUUUGAAAGAAGUGAGUUUCUUGAGAAUAUAUUCAUGGUUAUGGCAUCUCAAAGAGCCUCUGGACUUACUCAUGCUGAUGUAUACUCAUUGUUGAGUGUCAUUACCAUUCGACUUGGUGAAAGAAACUUUAUCAAGUGGAGCUUUCAGUUUCAGUCAACUCUAGCUGGAAAUGGACUCUUUGGUUAUUAUGAUGGUACAUAAAUAACUCCUCCACGCUAUGUGCUUACUACUGAAAGGGAAGUUACUGGUGAAGAAACAGCUGCUUAUAAGGCUUGGAAACAAACUGACAUGGCUCUCAGGAGUUUGCUUAUGGCUACUUUGGAUGAGGAUAUUGUAGAUGCGAUCAUUGGUUGCAAAACAUCAAGACAGGCUUGGCUUGCUCUCCAAAAGCGUUUUUCUGCUGCUUCAAGAGUGAGCAUCAUGCAACUUAAGACUGAAUUACAGACUAUGAGGAAAGGUGGUGAUUCCAUUGAAAGAUACCUGCAGAAAGCUAAGAAUGCUCGUGACCAACUUCUAUUGUUAGAGUAAGUGUUCCGGAAGAGGAUAUCAUCAUUGUGAUCUUAAAUGGUCUUCCAGAGGAAUACAUGAUUGUAAGAACAGUUAUUGAGAGCAGAGAAACUCAAAUCACACUUCGUGAUUUAAGAUCUCAGUUACUUGCUGCAGAAAGACUCAUUGAAGGCAGUUUCUCGCUUCACUCCACCAUGAAUGCUCUAAUAGCUUGUGGAGAAGAAUCAAAACCCACAGGACAAGAAAGUAGUUCCUGGAACAAUAGAAAUGUUGGAAACAUAAAGAAUGGAAGAAAUAGUGUGACUGGGGUUGAGUGUAAAGUGUGUGGGAAAAAAGGGCUGAUGCGGCUGAAAUAGUCUCACAAUUUAACCCUGCAAAAUAUAGUUGUCAGUACAGGAUAAGCAGGGAUCGUUCAGUCCGGGAAUUGUAGGGUACACCUACACAAAAAGGUUUUGACAUGAAGUGGGGCUAAGGAACGUGUUCGAGACCCAAUUUCUGAAACAAACCUAGAAUUAGCUUGGACACCAUUUGGGAGCUUUUGAUCCUCAUUCAUUUGAAUCAGAAUCCUCUCAUUAGAAGCAGUGACAAUAUCAUGAGUUCCUAUCCCCUUUGUAACGCCACGUGUCUUUUUCCCCUUAGAGGACAUGUCAUGAUCAGCACCUAGAGGUAUUGUUAAGAAAAUAAAGUUUAGUCAGAAGAUCAUACAAUGAAUAGACCUAUAUUCCAAUUCAUAUAUCUAAAAUAUGAAUCAUGGCUCAUAGACAAGCUAUGUAGAUUUAUUUAUAUUAAAUGUGUUGUUAGUGUUAUCACAAUCCAAGUAACUUACUUUCACUAGAAUGUAAUGGUGGUUGUGGUUGUUGCUGCUGUGAUGGCUCAGGUUGUUGCAACUGUGGUGGUUGUGGCUGCCUCUUUCCUA